rnacentral:hammerhead_ribozyme from 1 species
GUCCAACUGACGAGUCCCAACGAGGACGAAACACACGUCCUGGAU